UGGGGAAUAUUGCACAAUGGGCGCAAGCCUGAUGCAGCCAUGCCGCGUGUAUGAAGAAGGCCUUCGGGUUGUAAAGUACUUUCAGCGGGGAGGAAGGGAGUAAUGUUAAUACCUUUGCUCAUUGACGUCACCCGCAGAAGAAGCACCGGCUAACUCCGUGCCAGCAGCCGCGGUAAUACGUAGGGCGCGAGCGUUGUCCGGAAUUAUUGGGCGUAAAGGGCUUGUAGGCGGCUUGUUGCGCCGGCUGUGAAAACGCGGGGCUUAACUUCGCGCGUGCAGUGGGUACGGGCAGGCUUGAGUGUGGUAGGGGUGACUGGAAUUCCACGUGUAGCGGUGGAAUGCGCAGAUAUCUGGAGGAACACCGAUGGCGAAGGCAGGUCACUGGACCAUUACUGACGCUGAGGAGCGAAAGCAUGGGUAGCGAACAGG
rnacentral:rRNA from 1 species